rnacentral:misc_RNA from 1 species
AAUGUUGUGCAAUCUUUGCUAAUAGGCCACAGAUAAGCUUCUGGACAAGGCCUGAUGAAUCCGCACAUGCGAAAAAGGACUCACAGCUCUUGAGACUUGCAAGUAUAUCAUUCCAUGACCAGUAAAAUACUCCUCCAAGAAAGAUCUCGGUCUGUUUCAAGAGAUUGCAAUUUGAGACUUUCUCUGUCAUACCUAGAAAGAUAGCACAGCAAUGGAGAAGAGCUACAUUUGAGACAGUGAUUUCAAUUCUGCCAUGAUUGUAACAGAAUCUUGAAACCAACUCAAACCCACAAGGACCUCCAGGGAAAUCAUCGAUUUCAAUAACUGAAUUCUUAAUCUGAGUUUUCCUCUUUUCUUGCUUGAUGAUCUUCUUCAACUUUCCUGAAUAUGCAGAUACAAUUUUCUCACUUAGAAAGAAUGUUUCUUGAGCAUUGACAUGGAUUGAAAGAUCACAAGGGCGUGACAUUGCUG